rnacentral:rRNA from 1 species
GACGCUGGCGGCAUGCCUAAUACAUGCAAGUCGAACGAUCACUUCGGUGGUAGUGGCGCACGGGUGCGUAACGCGUGGGAAUCUGCCCUUGGGUUCGGAAUAACAGUUGGAAACGACUGCUAAUACCGGAUGAUGACGUAAGUCCAAAGAUUUAUCGCCCAAGGAUGAGCCCGCGUAGGAUUAGCUAGUUGGUGAGGUAAAGGCUCACCAAGGCGACGAUCCUUAGCUGGUCUGAGAGGAUGAUCAGCCACACUGGGACUGAGACACGGCCCAGACUCCUACGGGAGGCAGCAGUAGGGAAUAUUGGACAAUGGGCGAAAGCCUGAUCCAGCAAUGCCGCGUGAGUGAUGAAGGCCUUAGGGUUGUAAAGCUCUUUCGCCAGGGAAGAUAAUGACGGUACCUGGAUAAGAAGCCCCGGCUAACUCCGUGCCAGCCGCCGCGGUAA